GCUCAGAUUGAACGCUGGCGGCAUGCCUUACACAUGCAAGUCGAACGGCAGCGCGGGGCAACCUGGCGGCGAGUGGCGAACGGGUGAGUAAUAUAUCGGAACGUACCCUGGAGUGGGGGAUAACGUAGCGAAAGUUACGCUAAUACCGCAUACGAUCUAAGGAUGAAAGUGGGGGAUUCGCAAGAACCUCAUGCUCCUGGAGCGGCCGAUAUCUGAUUAGCUAGUUGGUGGGGUAAAGGCCUACCAAGGCAUCGAUCAGUAGCUGGUCUGAGAGGACGACCAGCCACACUGGAACUGAGACACGGUCCAGACUCCUACGGGAGGCAGCAGUGGGGAAUUUUGGACAAUGGGCGAAAGCCUGAUCCAGCAAUGCCGCGUGAGUGAAGAAGGCCUUCGGGUUGUGAAGCUCUUUUGUCAGGGAAGAAACGGUGAGGGCUAAUAUCCCUUGCUAAUGACGGUACCUGAAGAAUAAGCACCGGCUAACUACGUGCCAGCAGCCGCGGUAAUACGUAGGGUGCAAGCGUUAAUCGGAAUUACUGGGCGUAAAGCGUGCGCAGGCGGUUUUGUAAGUCUGUCGUGAAAUCCCCGGGCUCAACCUGGGAAUUGCGAUGGAGACUGCAAGGCUAGAAUCUGGCAGAGGGGGGUAGAAUUCCACGUGUAGCAGUGAAAUGCGUAGAGAU
rnacentral:rRNA from 1 species